UUAAGCGACUAAGCGUACACGGUGGAUGCCCUGGCAGUCAGAGGCGAUGAAGGACGUGCUAAUCUGCGAUAAGCGUCGGUAAGGUGAUAUGAACCGUUAUAACCGGCGAUUUCCGAAUGGGGAAACCCAGUGUGUUUCGACACACUAUCAUUAACUGAAUCCAUAGGUUAAUGAGGCGAACCGGGGGAACUGAAACAUCUAAGUACCCCGAGGAAAAGAAAUCAACCGAGAUUCCCCCAGUAGCGGCGAGCGAACGGGGAGCAGCCCAGAGCCUGAAUCAGUGUGUGUGUUAGUGGAAGCGUCUGGAAAGGCGCGCGAUACAGGGUGACAGCCCCGUACACAAAAAUGCACAUACUGUGAGCUCGAUGAGUAGGGCGGGACACGUGGUAUCCUGUCUGAAUAUGGGGGGACCAUCCUCCAAGGCUAAAUACUCCUGACUGACCGAUAGUGAACCAGUACCGUGAGGGAAAGGCGAAAAGAACCCCGGCGAGGGGAGUGAAAAAGAACCUGAAACCGUGUACGUACAAGCAGUGGGAGCCUCUUUAUGGGGUGACUGCGUACCUUUUGUAUAAUGGGUCAGCGACUUAUAUUCUGUAGCAAGGUUAACCGAAUAGGGGAGCCGAAGGGAAACCGAGUCUUAACUGGGCGUUAAGUUGCAGGGUAUAGACCCGAAACCCGGUGAUCUAGCCAUGGGCAGGUUGAAGGUUGGGUAACACUAACUGGAGGACCGAACCGACUAAUGUUGAAAAAUUAGCGGAUGACUUGUGGCUGGGGGUGAAAGGCCAAUCAAACCGGGAGAUAGCUGGUUCUCCCCGAAAGCUAUUUAGGUAGCGCCUCGUGAAUUCAUCUCCGGGGGUAGAGCACUGUUUCGGCAAGGGGGUCAUCCCGACUUACCAACCCGAUGCAAACUGCGAAUACCGGAGAAUGUUAUCACGGGAGACACACGGCGGGUGCUAACGUCCGUCGUGAAGAGGGAAACAACCCAGACCGCCAGCUAAGGUCCCAAAGUCAUGGUUAAGUGGGAAACGAUGUGGGAAGGCCCAGACAGCCAGGAUGUUGGCUUAGAAGCAGCCAUCAUUUAAAGAAAGCGUAAUAGCUCACUGGUCGAGUCGGCCUGCGCGGAAGAUGUAACGGGGCUAAACCAUGCACCGAAGCUGCGGCAGCGACACUAUGUGUUGUUGGGUAGGGGAGCGUUCUGUAAGCCUGUGAAGGUGGCCUGUGAGGGUUGCUGGAGGUAUCAGAAGUGCGAAUGCUGACAUAAGUAACGAUAAAGCGGGUGAAAAGCCCGCUCGCCGGAAGACCAAGGGUUCCUGUCCAACGUUAAUCGGGGCAGGGUGAGUCGACCCCUAAGGCGAGGCCGAAAGGCGUAGUCGAUGGGAAACAGGUUAAUAUUCCUGUACUUGGUGUUACUGCGAAGGGGGGACGGAGAAGGCUAUGUUGGCCGGGCGACGGUUGUCCCGGUUUAAGCGUGUAGGCUGGUUUUCCAGGCAAAUCCGGAAAAUCAAGGCUGAGGCGUGAUGACGAGGCACUACGGUGCUGAAGCAACAAAUGCCCUGCUUCCAGGAAAAGCCUCUAAGCAUCAGGUAACAUCAAAUCGUACCCCAAACCGACACAGGUGGUCAGGUAGAGAAUACCAAGGCGCUUGAGAGAACUCGGGUGAAGGAACUAGGCAAAAUGGUGCCGUAACUUCGGGAGAAGGCACGCUGAUGCGUAGGUGAAGCGACUUGCUCGUGGAGCUGAAAUCAGUCGAAGAUACCAGCUGGCUGCAACUGUUUAUUAAAAACACAGCACUGUGCAAACACGAAAGUGGACGUAUACGGUGUGACGCCUGCCCGGUGCCGGAAGGUUAAUUGAUGGGGUCAGCCGCAAGGCGAAGCUCUUGAUCGAAGCCCCGGUAAACGGCGGCCGUAACUAUAACGGUCCUAAGGUAGCGAAAUUCCUUGUCGGGUAAGUUCCGACCUGCACGAAUGGCGUAAUGAUGGCCAGGCUGUCUCCACCCGAGACUCAGUGAAAUUGAACUCGCUGUGAAGAUGCAGUGUACCCGCGGCAAGACGGAAAGACCCCGUGAACCUUUACUAUAGCUUGACACUGAACAUUGAGCCUUGAUGUGUAGGAUAGGUGGGAGGCUUUGAAGCGUGGACGCCAGUCUGCGUGGAGCCGACCUUGAAAUACCACCCUUUAAUGUUUGAUGUUCUAACGUGGACCCGUGAUCCGGGUUGCGGACAGUGUCUGGUGGGUAGUUUGACUGGGGCGGUCUCCUCCUAAAGAGUAACGGAGGAGCACGAAGGUUGGCUAAUCCUGGUCGGACAUCAGGAGGUUAGUGCAAUGGCAUAAGCCAGCUUGACUGCGAGCGUGACGGCGCGAGCAGGUGCGAAAGCAGGUCAUAGUGAUCCGGUGGUUCUGAAUGGAAGGGCCAUCGCUCAACGGAUAAAAGGUACUCCGGGGAUAACAGGCUGAUACCGCCCAAGAGUUCAUAUCGACGGCGGUGUUUGGCACCUCGAUGUCGGCUCAUCACAUCCUGGGGCUGAAGUAGGUCCCAAGGGUAUGGCUGUUCGCCAUUUAAAGUGGUACGCGAGCUGGGUUUAGAACGUCGUGAGACAGUUCGGUCCCUAUCUGCCGUGGGCGCUGGAGAACUGAGGGGGGCUGCUCCUAGUACGAGAGGACCGGAGUGGACGCAUCACUGGUGUUCGGGUUGUCAUGCCAAUGGCACUGCCCGGUAGCUAAAUGCGGAAGAGAUAAGUGCUGAAAGCAUCUAAGCACGAAACUUGCCCCGAGAUGAGUUCUCCCUGAGACCUUGAGACUCCUGAAGGAACGUUGAAGACGACGACGUUGAUAGGCCGGGUGUGUAAGCGCAGCGAUGCGUUGAGCUAACCGGUACUAAUGAACCGUGAGGCUUAACCUU
rnacentral:rRNA from 2 species